GAUGAACGCUGGCGGCGUGCCUAAUACAUGCAAGUCGAGCGAACGGACGAGAAGCUUGCUUCUCUGAUGUUAGCGGCGGACGGGGGAGUAACACGUGGAUAACCUACCUAUAAGACUGGGAUAACUUCGGGAAACCGGAGCUAAUACCGGAUAAUAUUUUGAACCGCAUGGUUCAAAAGUGAAAGACGGUCUUGCUGUCACUUAUAGAUGGAUCCGCGCUGCAUUAGCUAGUUGGUAAGGUAACGGCUUACCAAGGCAACGAUGCAUAGCCGACCUGAGAGGGUGAUCGGCCACACUGGAGCUGAGACGCGGUCCAGACUCCUGCGGGAGGCAGCAGUAGGGAAUCUUCCGCAAUGGGCGAAAGCCUGACGGAGCAGCGCCGCGUGAGUUAUGAAGGUCUUCGGAUCGUAAAACUCUGUUAUUAGGGAAGAACAUAUGUGUAAGUAACUGUGCACAUCUUGACGGUACCUAAUCAGAAAGCCACGGCUAACUACGUG
rnacentral:rRNA from 1 species